GGCUGCUUGGCGAAAUGGUAUCGCGUCACUUUCCGGUAUAAGGAGCUUGGUGAAGAUUGCGGGUUCGAGUCCCGUGGCGGUCG
rnacentral:tRNA from 1 species